rnacentral:rRNA from 1 species
UACGAAGGGGGCUAGCGUUGCUCGGAAUCACUGGGCGUAAAGCGCACGUAGGCGGAUCUUUAAGUCAGGGGUGAAAUCCUGGAGCUCAACUCCAGAACUGCCUUUGAUACUGGGGAUCUCGAGUCCGGGAGAGGUGAGUGGAACUCCGAGUGUAGAGGUGAAAUUCGUAGAUAUUCGGAAGGACACCAGUGGCGAAGGCGGCUCACUGGCCCGGUACUGACGCUGAGGUGCGAAAGCGUGGGGAGCAAACAGG